rnacentral:rRNA from 1 species
AUUGAACGCUGGCGGCAGGCCUAACACAUGCAAGUCGAGCGGAUGAAGGGAGCUUGCUCCUGGAUUCAGCGGCGGACGGGUGAGUAAUGCCUAGGAAUCUGCCUGGUAGUGGGGGAUAACGUCCGGAAACGGGCGCUAAUACCGCAUACGUCCUGAGGGAGAAAGUGGGGGAUCUUCGGACCUCACGCUAUCAGAUGAGCCUAGGUCGGAUUAGCUAGUUGGUGGGGUAAAGGCCUACCAAGGCGACGAUCCGUAACUGGUCUGAGAGGAUGAUCAGUCACACUGGAACUGAGACACGGUCCAGACUCCUACGGGAGGCAGCAGUGGGGAAUAUUGGACAAUGGGCGAAAGCCUGAUCCAGCCAUGCCGCGUGUGUGAAGAAGGUCUUCGGAUUGUAAAGCACUUUAAGUUGGGAGGAAGGGCAGUAAGUUAAUACCUUGCUGUUUUGACGUUACCAACAGAAUAAGC